rnacentral:rRNA from 1 species
GACGAACGCUGGCGGCGUGCUUAACACAUGCAAGUCGAACGAAGUGGCGAACGGGUGAGUAACGCGUAAUCAACCAGCCCUUCAGAGGGGGACAACAGUUGGAAACGACUGCUAAUGCCGCAUACGGAAGGAGGGGAUUGGGUCUGAUUAGCUAGUUGGAGGGGUAACGGCCCCCCAAGGCGAUGAUCAGUAGCCGGUCUGGGAGGAUGAGCGGCCACAUUGGGACUGCGACACGGCCCAGACUCCUACGGGGGGCAGCCGUGUGGAAUCUUCCGGAAUGGAGGCAAGUCUGACGGCGCAACGCCGCGUGAGUGAUGACGGCCUUCGGGUUUUAAAUCUCUGUUAAUCGGUACGCGGUACCGGAAUAGAAAGCCACGGCUAACUACGUGCCAGCAGCCGCGGUAAUAC